AUGAACGCUGGCGGCGUGCCUAAUACCUGCAAGUCGAGCGAACAGACGAGGAGCUUGCUCCUUUGACGUUAGCGGCGGACGGGUGAGUAACACGUAGGUAACCUACCUAUAAGACUGGGAUAACUUCGGGAAACCGGAGCUAAUACCGGAUAAUAUUUCGAACCGCAUGGUUCGAUAGUGAAAGAUGGCUUUGCUAUCACUUAUAGAUGGACCUGCGCCGUAUUAGCUAGUUGGUAAGGUAACGGCUUACCAAGGCAACGAUACGUAGCCGACCUGAGAGGGUGAUCGGCCACACUGGAACUGAGACACGGUCCAGACUCCUACGGGAGGCAGCAGUAGGGAAUCUUCCGCAAUGGGCGAAAGCCUGACGGAGCAACGCCGCGUGAGUGAUGAAGGUCUUCGGAUCGUAAAACUCUGUUAUUAGGGAAGAACAAACGUGUAAGUAACUGUGCACGUCUUGACGGUACCUAAUCAGAAAGCCACGGCUAACUACGUG
rnacentral:rRNA from 1 species